rnacentral:tRNA from 1 species
GGUGCUGUGGCUCGGUGAUAGAGGAUCUGCUUUGUGUGCAGAAUGUCCCAGGUUCGAUCCCUGGUAUCUCCA